rnacentral:rRNA from 1 species
GAUGAACGCUGGCGGCGUGCCUAAUACAUGCAAGUCGAGCGAACAGACGAGGAGCUUGCUCCUCUGACGUUAGCGGCGGACGGGUGAGUAACACGUGGAUAACCUACCUAUAAGACUGGGAUAACUUCGGGAAACCGGAGCUAAUACCGGAUAAUAUAUUGAACCGCAUGGUUCAAUAGUGAAAGACGGUUUUGCUGUCACUUAUAGAUGGAUCCGCGCCGCAUUAGCUAGUUGGUAAGGUAACGGCUUACCAAGGCAACGAUGCGUAGCCGACCUGAGAGGGUGAUCGGCCACACUGGAACUGAGACACGGUCCAGACUCCUACGGGAGGCAGCAGUAGGGAAUCUUCCGCAAUGGGCGAAAGCCUGACGGAGCAACGCCGCGUGGGUGAUGAAGGUCUUCGGAUCGUAAAACUCUGUUAUUAGGGAAGAACAAAUGUGUAAGUAACUAUGCACGUCUUGACGGUACCUAAUCAGAAAGCCACGGCUAACUACGCG